CAGUCGCCGCGGUAAUACGAAGGGGGCUAGCGUUGCUCGGAAUGACUGGGCGUAAGGGGCGCGUAGGCGGUUCGUACAGUCGGAUAUGAAAUUCCUGGGCUUAACCUGGGGACUGCAUUCGAUACAUGCGGGCUUGAGUGUGGAAGAGGGUUGUGGAAUUCCCAGUGUAGAGGUGAAAUUCGUAGAUAUUGGGAAGAACACCGGUGGCGAAGGCGGCAACCUGGUCCAUGACUGACGCUGAGGCGCGAAAGCGUAGGGAGCAAACAGGAUUAGAUACCCCCGUAGUCCCUGUCUCUUAUAC
rnacentral:rRNA from 1 species